GGUUGACCUCGGAUUAGGUAGGAAUACCGC
rnacentral:rRNA from 1 species